rnacentral:rRNA from 1 species
CCCUUAGAUGUCCUGGGCCGCACACGCGCUACACUGAAGGAGGCAGCGUGUACUCCUGGAUCGAAAGAUUUGGGUAACCCGCGAAUCUCCUUCGUGCUAGGGAUUGAGGUUUGCAAUUAUCCUUCAUGAACGAGGAAUUCCCAGUAAGUGCAAGUCAUAAGCUUGCGCUGACUACGUCCCUGCCCUUUGUACACACCGCCCGUCGCUACUACCGAUUGAAUGAUUUAGUGAGGACUUCGGACUGGGACCGAUGCGGCUUUCGGGCUGCGUCGGUAUUCUGGAAAGAUGUCCAAACUGUAUCAUUUAGAGGAAGUAAAAGUCGUANCA